GACGAACGCUGGCGGCGUGCCUAAUACAUGCAAGUCGAGCGCAGGAAAUCAUCCGAACCCUUCGGGGGGACGUUGAUGGAAUGAGCGGCGGACGGGUGAGUAACACGUAAAGAACCUGCCCUCAGGUCUGGGAUAACCACGAGAAAUCGGGGCUAAUACCGGAUGGGUCAUCGGACCGCAUGGUCCGAGGAUUAAAGGCGCUUCGGCGGCGCCUGGGGAUGGCUUUGCGGUGCAUUAGCUAGUUGGUGGGGUAAUGGCCCACCAAGGCGACGAUGCAUAGCCGACCUGAGAGGGUGAUCGGCCACACUGGGACUGAGACACGGCCCAGACUCCUACGGGAGGCAGCAGUAGGGAAUCUUCCACAAUGGACGAAAGUCUGAUGGAGCAACGCCGCGUGAACGAUGAAGGCCUUCGGGUCGUAAAGUUCUGUUGUAAGGGAAGAACAAGUGCCGCAGGCAAUGGCGGCACCUUGACGGUACCUUGCGAGAAAGCCACGGCUAACUACGUGCCAGCCGCCGCCGUAA
rnacentral:rRNA from 1 species